UGGGGAAUAUUGCACAAUGGGGGAAACCCUGAUGCAGCGACGUCGCGUGAACGAAGAAGGUAUUCGUAUCGUAAAGUUCUGUCCUAUGGGAAGAUAAUGACAGUACCAUAGAAGAAAGCUCCGGCUAAAUACGUGCCAGCAGCCGCGGUAAUACGUAUGGAGCGAGCGUUGUCCGGAAUUAUUGGGCGUAAAGGGUACGCAGGCGGUUUAAUAAGUCGAAUGUUAAAGAUCGGGGCUCAACCCCGCAAAGCAUUGGAAACUGAUAAACUUGAGUAGUGGAGAGGAAAGUGGAAUUCCUAGUGUAGUGGUGAAAUACGUAGAUAUUAGGAGGAAUACCAGUAGCGAAGGCGACUUUCUGGACACAAACUGACGCUGAGGUACGAAAGCGUGGGGAGCAAACAGG
rnacentral:rRNA from 1 species